UACGUAGGGUGCGAGCGUUGUCCGGAAUUAUUGGGCGUAAAGGGCUCGUAGGCGGUUUGUCGCGUCGGGAGUGAAAUCCACUGGCUUAACUGGUGGCUUGCUUUCGAUACGGGCAGACUGGAGGUAUGCAGGGGAGAACGGAAUUCCUGGUGUAGCGGUGAAAUGCGCAGAUAUCAGGAGGAACACCGGUGGCGAAGGCAGAUCUCUGGGCCGUUACUGACGCUGAGGAGCGAAAGCGUGGGGAGCGAACAGG
rnacentral:rRNA from 1 species